GUGUUCGAUGAGAACUUUUUCUGUUUCAUAUUCGCCUGCAACAGGCAAUUAAAUUAUGGCGGUGUUUCUGCUGAAGAAAAGGAGUGUUCUCCUUGACGGGGGAACAUGUGGAGUAAAGAUGAGACAGCUACCAUUUAUGUGGAUCAUCUGUAUAGUUAUGUUGUUUAUUGUAUAUAGGACCACCAAUUAUCAGUAUCAACAGACAGAGAUGGAGUCAAGGUUGGAUCCGUUUUAUUCUUCAAAGGACUCUAGUAUGGAUAUGAGAAGCUUGCACAGUUUACCGCGUGGUAUUAUCCAAGCAAGAUCAGAUCUGGAGUUAAAGCCUCUGUGGUCAACAACUAGUUCAAAGUCAAAGGCAA
rnacentral:misc_RNA from 1 species